rnacentral:rRNA from 1 species
AGUGAACGCUGGCGGUAGGCCUAACACAUGCAAGUCGAACGGCAGCACAGUAAGAGCUUGCUCUUACGGGUGGCGAGUGGCGGACGGGUGAGGAAUACAUCGGAAUCUACUUUUUCGUGGGGGAUAACGUAGGGAAACUUACGCUAAUACCGCAUACGACCUACGGGUGAAAGCAGGGGAUCUUCGGACCUUGCGCGAUUGAAUGAGCCGAUGUCGGAUUAGCUAGUUGGCGAGGUAAAGGCCCACCAAGGCGACGAUCCGUAGCUGGUCUGAGAGGAUGACCAGCCACACUGGAACUGAGACACGGUCCAGACUCCUACGGGAGGCAGCAGUGGGGAAUAUUGGACAAUGGGCGCAAGCCUGAUCCAGCCAUACCGCGUGGGUGAAGAAGGCCUUCGGGUUGUAAAGCCCUUUUGUUGGGAAAGAAAAGCAGCAGGUUAAUACCCCGCUGUUCUGACGGUACCCAAAGAAUAAGCACCGGCUAACUUCGUG